GGCAGACGGGUGAGUAACAUGUGGGUAUCUGCCCUUUGGCCUGGAAUAACACGAGGAAACUUGUGCUAAUACCGGAUAAGUCUUUACGGAGAAAGCUUUAUGCACCAUUGGAUGAGCCCGCACUUGAUUAGUUUGUUGGUAGGGUAAUGGCCUACCAAGACUGUGAUCAAUAGCUGAUUUGAGAGGAUGAUCAGCCACAUUGGGACUGAGACACGGCCCAAACUCCUACGGGAGGCAGCAGUGGGGAAUCUUGCACAAUGGAGGAAACUCUGAUGCAGCGAUGCCGCGUGAGUGAAGAAGGCCCUUGGGUUGUAAAGCUCUUUCGUCGGGGAAGAAAAUGACUGUACCCGAAUAAGAAGGUCCGGCUAACUUCGUGCCAGCAGCCGCGGUAAUACGAAGGGACCUAGCGUAGUUCGGAAUUACUGGGCUUAAAGAGUUCGUAGGUGGUUGAAAAAGUUGGUGGUGAAAUCCCAGAGCUUAACUCUGGAACUGCCAUCAAAACUUUUCAGCUAGAGUUUGAUAGAGGAAAGCAGAACUUCUAGUGUAGAGGUGAAAUUCGUAGAUAUUAGAAAGAAUACCAAUUGCGAAGGCAGCUUUCUGGAUCAUUACUGACACUGAGGAACGAAAGCAUGGGUAGCGAAGAGGAUUAGAUACCCUCGUAGUCCAUGCCGUAAACGAUGUGUGUUAGACGUUGGAAAUUUAUUUUCAGUGUCGCAGCGAAAGCGAUAAACCCAC
rnacentral:rRNA from 1 species